ensembl:rRNA 5S_rRNA 5S ribosomal RNA
GCCAGCAGCCAUAUCACUCUGCAACUCACAACUGGCAACCCACUGAAGCUAAGCAGGUGUGAGCCUGGUCAGUACCUGGAUGUGAGACCUCCUGGGAAAAACUAAGGUUGCUGCUGGAA